rnacentral:rRNA from 1 species
AUUGAACGCUGGCGGCAGGCCUAACACAUGCAAGUCGAACGGUAACAGGAAGCAGCUUGCUGCUUUGCUGACGAGUGGCGGACGGGUGAGUAAUGUCUGGGACACUGCCUGAUGGAGGGGGAUAACUACUGGAAACGGUAGCUAAUACCGCAUAACGUCGCAACACCAAAGUGGGGGACCUUAGGGCCUCUUGCCAUCGGAUGUGCCCAGAUGGGAUUAGCUAGUAGGUGGGGUAACGGCUCACCUAGGCGACGAUCCCUAGCUGGUCUGAGAGGAUGACCGGCCACACUGGAACUGAGACACGGUCCAGACUCCUACGGGAGGCAGCAGUAGGGAAUAUUGCGCAAUGGGCGAAAGCCUGAUGGAGCAAUGCCGCGUGUAUGAAGAAGGCCUUCGGGUUGUAAAGUACUUUCAGCGGGGAGGAAGGGAGUAAAGUUAAUACCUGUGCUCAUUGACGGUACCCGAAGAAGAAGCACCGGCUAACUCCGUG